rnacentral:rRNA from 1 species
AUUGAACGCUGGCGGCAUGCCUAACACAUGCAAGUCGAACGUGUGGCGGACGGGUGAGUAAUGUCUGGGACCCUGCCUGUUGGAGGGGGAUACCUACUGGAAACGUUAGCUAAUCCCGCAUACCUUCAGAUGUGCCCAGAGGGGCUUGGCUUGUGGGUGGGGUAACGGCUACCCAAGGCGACGAUCCCUAGCUGGUCGGAGAGGAGGACCAGCCACACGGGAACGGAGAAACGGCCAAGACUCCUACGGGAGGCAGCAGUGGGGAAGAUUGCACAAUGGGCGCAAGCCGGAUGAAGCAAUGCGGCGGGUAUGAAGAAGGCCUUCGGGUGGUAAAGUACGUUCAGCGGGGAGGCGGUACCCGAAGAGGAAGCACCGGCUAACUCCGUGCCAGCAGCCGCGGUAAUAC